UCCGAGUGGUGUGGAUGUUUAUUGGGCCUAAGGCAUCCGUAGCUGGCUGGGCAAGUCCCCUGUUAAAUCCACCGAUUCAAUCGUUGGUGUGCGGGGGAAACUGCUCGGCUAGGGGACUGGAGAGGCCGACGGUAUUUCCGGGGUAAGGGUGAAAUCCUAUAAUCCCAGGAAGACCACCAGUGGCGAAGGCUGUCGGCUAGAACACACUCUACGGUGAGGGAUGAAAGCUGGGGGAGCGAACCGGAUUAGAUACCCGGGUAGUCCCAACCGUAAACGAUGCAAGCUAUGUGUUUGGGCGGCCACGUGCCGCUCUAGUGCCGCAAGGAACUGUUAAGCCUGCCGCCUGGGGAGUACGAUCGCAAGAUUGAAACUUAAAGGAAUUGGCGGGGGAGCACCACAAGGGGUGAAGCUUGCGGUUUAAUUGGAGUCAACGCCGGAAAUCUCACCGGGAGCGACAGCAGUUUGAAGGCCAGAUUAAAGGUCUUGCUAGACGAGCUGAGAGGAGGUGCAUGGCCGUCGCCAGUUCGUGCCGUGAGGUGUCCUGUUAAGUCAGGCAACGAUCGAGACCCGCGUCCUCUGUUGCUACUAGCUUUGUGCUGGGCACACUGAGGAGACCGCCGCUGAUAAAGCGGAGGAAGGAGCGGGCCACGGCAGGUCAGUAUGCCCCGAAUCUCCCGGGCCACACGCGAGCUGCAAUGGCAGGUACAAUGGGUUCUAACCUCGAAAGGGGAAGGCAAUCCCGAAAGCCUGCCGUAGUUUGGAUCGAGGGUUGAAACUCACCCUCGUGAACAUGGAAUCCCUAGUAAUCGCGUGUCACUAGCGCGCGGUGAAUACGUCCCUGCUCCUUGCACACACCGCCCGUCGUUCCACCCGAGCGACUCUUGGGUGAGGCGUGGUCAUUAUUGGCUGUGUCGAAUCUGAG
rnacentral:rRNA from 1 species